CCCACACCCCAACAACCCCACUGCCUCUGGCAGCCAGGUGCCAGUACCAGGAAAUCAUAAAGGCCAUUGUUCUGAGACCCAGAAGAUAAAGCCAAAGUGAACAACAGAAACAGGGUCACUCUGAGGCUCCUUGAUGAAAACUGAAGCCCACUGGAAAAGUAGGGAAAAAUUCUCCUCAAUAAAGGCACACCAGACCAUCAUAGUUGAUUGCUGAAGAGUCAUUAGAGAAUGAAAACCUAAAGACCAGCUAUAUCUGGAAGACACCUCUGAGAAGCAAUCAUUCAAUAAGGGUUCUAAAUACAAGCAAUAAAGAUAAUUAUAAUAAGCAAUAUUGAAGGACAGAC
rnacentral:lncRNA from 1 species